GACGAACGCUGGCGGCGUGCUUAACACAUGCAAGUCGAACGGAAAGGCCCUGCUUUUGUGGGGUGCUCGAGUGGCGAACGGGUGAGUAACACGUGAGUAACCUGCCCUUGACUUUGGGAUAACUUCAGGAAACUGGGGCUAAUACCGGAUAGGAGCUCCUGCUGCAUGGUGGGGGUUGGAAAGUUUCGGCGGUUGGGGAUGGACUCGCGGCUUAUCAGCUUGUUGGUGGGGUAGUGGCUUACCAAGGCUUUGACGGGUAGCCGGCCUGGGAGGGUGACCGGCCACAUUAGGACUGAGAUACGGCGCAGACUCCUACGGGAGGCAGCGGUGGGGAAUAUUGCACAAUGGGCGGAAGCCUGAUGCAGCAACGCCGCGUGCGGGAUGACGGCCUGCGGGUUGUGAACCGCUGUCGCCUGUGACGAAGCGUGAGUGACGGUAAUGGGUAAAGAAGCACCGGCUAACUACGUG
rnacentral:rRNA from 1 species